AGCGAACGCUGGCGGCAGGCCUAACACAUGCAAGUCGAACGAACCUUUCGGGGUUAGUGGCGUACGGGUGAGUAACACGUGGGAACGUGCCUUUAGGUACGGCAUAACUCAGGGAAACUUGUGCUAAUACCGAAUGUGCCCUUAGGGGGGAAGAUUUAUCGCCUUUAGAGCGGCCCGCGUCUGAUUAGCUAGUUGGUUGAGGUAAUGGUACACCAAGGCGACGAUCAGUAGCUGGUCUGAGAGGAUGAUCCGCCACACUGGGACUGAGACACGGCCCAAACUCCUACGGGAGGCAGCAGUGGGGAAUCUUGCGCAGUGGGCGAAAGCCUGACGCUGCCAUGCCGCGUGAAUGAUGAAGGUCUUAGGAUGGUAAAAUUCUUUCACCGGGGACGAUAAUGACGGUACCCGGAGAAGAAGCCCCGGCUAACUUCGUG
rnacentral:rRNA from 1 species